rnacentral:rRNA from 1 species
GGCGAUCAGAUACCGCCCUAGUUCUGACCGUAAACGAUGCCAACUAGCGAUCCKCCAGUCGACUCAUCGCUCUGGUGGGGAGCUUCCCGGAAACSAAAGUCUUCCGGUUCCGGGGGAAGUAUGGUUGCAAAGCUGAAACUUAAAGGAAUUGACGGAAGGGCACCACCAGGAGUGGAGCCUGCGGCUUAAUUUGACUCAACACGGGGAAACUCACCCGGCCCGGACACCGUAAGGAUUGACAGAUUGAUAGCUUUUUCAUGAUUCGGUGGAUGGUGGUGCAUGGCCGUUCUUAGUUCGUGGAGCGAUUUGUCUGGUUUAUUCCGAUAACGAGCGAGACUCUGGCCUACUAAAUAGUUGACGCAUUGCCACUGUGCGCACAACUUCUUAGAGGGAUUUUCGGUGUUUUCAACCGCACGAAAUUGAGCAAUAACAGGUCUGUGAUGCCCUUAGAUGUCCGGGGCUGCACGCGCGCUACACUGGCAAACGCAACGUGCCUGUCCUGCCCCGAAAGGAGCGGGUAAACCCCUGAAAUUUUGCCGUGAUUGGGAUCGGACAUUGCAACUAUUGUCCGUGAACGAGGAAUUCCUUGUAGGGGCGAGUCAUCAACUCGUCCCGAAUACGUCCCUGCCCUUUGUA